CGGAACCCCUGUCAGAAUGAUGGCCGGUGUCAGGAGCAGGGAGCCAGCUUCACCUGCGAGUGUGACCUCGGCUAUGGGGGAGACCUGUGCACGGAGCCGCAGGACAUCCCUCCCCCUAAAAAGCCAGAAGCAUCCAGCUUCGUGGCCAUCCUACUGGGCAUGCUGGUGCCCGCGGUGGUCAUCGUGUCGGUGGUGAUCAGAGAGUGUGUUUACAGGACCAGGAGGAGGAGGAGGGAGAAAAUGCAGAGCCUGAAUAGAGGCCCGUGGGGGGACACAGGUGAGAGCCCACCCUGGGGCCAGCACCUGCACAGCCGGAGCUGAGUCCACCCCGGAGGCCGGUUUUCUGUCUCUCCUCUGUUCCUGAGGCUGCCUUCAGAGCCACCGGGUUCUGAG